CGGCGAGGAGUCCCGGCUGCCGUCGCCGAGCGCUGGGGCGUGCGGGUCCGGCUGGGGGCGCGGCGGCCGCCCCUGCUGUGCGCCGGCUCCCUCGGGCUGCGCCCGGCACACACUUGCCGCGGGAGGGGCCGGCUCGGGAGUAGCGGGAGCAAAGCCGGCAGAGAAGAGUACGCGCAGCGACCCCUGCCGGGUCUCAAAUUCAACCUAAUCUGCGACGUGGUCCAGCUGGAGGCAAAAGGGGAAGCGACCGCUUGACCUAUGAAGAGAGGAACAACUUCCUGCGUCUCAAAGGUAGAGAAAUAUUACCCUGAUGGUCUCUAAAAUUUGAAAAACGGCUGUUCUACACCCGCUAGUCAGAACACACCGUAAGGACUAAAGCUGCAUUCUUGGUGGUGACCUGCUCUCAUACCUUAGUAUGUGCCUCCUCUGCUUGGUGCCAUACCUGCCAUCUGAACUCUCCUUAAGAAACAUUCAGCGCAGAAUGAGCAAAUCACCCAUUUAUAUGGUAGAUUAAACGUAUCAGCACAGCAUAUAGUAUUUUUAAAAGAUUAUACUUUUUUUAUUAUUUUCAAAUGUUCCCCCUUCCCAAAUAGGGUGUUAUUUUCCUUUUGCUAUGGUACUAUAAUUUCUAGAGUAGUAAAUGUAGAAGUUUAUAGCAGGUUGCAGUAAUUUGUUAUUUAUAUAAAUAAAGUAAGAUCAGUAACCUCAUGAUUUGGGACAUUCAAGAGAAUGCUAUGGUGAACUUGUCUAUAGUUAUUAUUUUUUGAAAAGGUAAUAUGAGAUAGAAGUGCCCCUCACCCACCCAGCCUUUCUAAAGUACACAGUUUAAUCAAAAUCUCUUCAUGCUAGAGAUGUUAUCGUAUACUAGUAACUCACCACUCAAUCACAGCAUUUUGGGUUUAUUUAUCAACUCUUAGCGCAUGACCUGUCACUGACU